rnacentral:lncRNA from 1 species
CCUCAUGGGGGCCUUUGCCUGUCUACCCUGGGGUGGUCAACUCAGAAUUACCUGAGGAUCUCAAGACAUCUAUCACCAGGCAUCUUCUCAACAUGCAUCUCGACCCCAAAUGGCAAGCUCAACUGAACCAAUACAUGGUGUCCAAA